GUUGCCGUAGCCUAGUGGUUAAGGCGAUAGACUAGAAAUCUUUUGGGAUAUUCAUGCGCAGGUUCGAAUCCUGCCGACGACG
rnacentral:tRNA from 1 species